rnacentral:lncRNA from 1 species
UAAUGCAAAUAAAUCUUUAUUAUAUAAAGACCUAAUCCCCUAGCAUCAUUUCCAAGGCAGCCACACAUACAACAAUGCUGUCAUGAUGGUUCUUUUUCUGCAAACAGCUGUUAAGUAAGCCUCUAUCCAGCAUUCUGAAGAGCCUCGAGGGUGAUGCAUCUUUCUUCGUUUGAGGCCAUCCUUCAUUCUGCUAAUAACCUAGUCAUUCACAAUCAAGUCUUGGGAGCCAGGUGUUAUGAGGACAAUAGAUACCGGAUCCUCUGUAUUCUCGAAAGAGACUAACCAGACUAUACUACUACACUGUACACGACUCACAAGUCAGUUCUAAAGAGACUGCAGAAAUAGGAAAGUAGUGUGGUAGGCAGCCUUUUCCCUCUGCUAUCUACUAUUUACAGGACGAUUUGCAAAGCAUAGUCUAACAGAGCACAUAUCUUCAUCUGUUUCCCCAGGAAGCCCUCACGAGGUAAGUGUUACAAAGUCUCAGAAGAACACACCACUUGCCCACUCCCUGCUGCUAUGCUCUGUCUGGCAUAAAGGGAUAGAAUGUAUCUCUAAGUAGGAGUGCCCUGUUCUGACUCCCAUCUGGGACCAUUGUUACUUCCUGAAAACAGCUGUCUCUAACUAAUCCUUGCAAUCUAUGGUCUGCUAAAAUAUCCUCACAAAAGGCAUUGUCAGUGAAGCUGCCCAACCACCCCCCCCUCCCGGAACAAGACACCCUGUCUUAAACAAGCUAGACUGUGACAGUUGAUAUCGUACAGCUAUGCUCUGGGAUAUGGACACCAGGCUCAGGGUUAGCACCACUCCAGCAACAGAACAACCUAAUGCUCAUCGGUAGCACAUUAUGAAAUCCCCAUUCAAUGGAAUCGUGCACAGGAAGCACAGGGGCAAGGUUAACAUACUGACAGGGGAUGCUCUCUCCAACAAGAAUAAAAAAGCCAGCCAAGCAUGAUGGAGCCACCUUUAUCCCAGCACUCAGGAGGCAAAGGACAGACAGAUCUCUGUGAACAUGAAGCCAGCCUGGGCUACAUAGUGAGUUCCAGGUCAGCCAGGGAUACAUAGUGAGGCCCUCUCUCAAAAAGCAAGCAAAUGAAAGAAACAGAAAAAAGAGCUUUAAAAAGAGUAGCUGGGCGUGGUGGUGCACACCUAUAAACCCUGUACAUGAGAGGCAGAGGGCAGAGGGCAGAGGGCAGAGGACAGAGGGGAGAGGGCAGAGGGCAGAGGGCAGAGGACAGAGGGGAGAGGGCAGAGGGCAGAGGCAGGAGGAUCGGAAGUUCAAGGUUAUCAAUGACUAUAAAGCAUGGGCUUUAUGACACUGUGUAAAAAACAAAAAUGAAAGGAAGAGACAAAAAGUGUAUGUACACACACACACACACGUGUGUGUGCAUGUGUGUGAAAAACACAUGUGUGGUUAGACACUCUUUCUCAAAGGCACAGAGGAACGUGACACCAGGGAUUGUCUGAGGAUUUGUACCAGGGAACAAGACAGAGGCUAGAAAGAACCUUCAUGUGAAAUCACUUUCCCAUCAUCUCCUGUGAGAAUAGGUAACCUUAAAAAUAGUUUUUAAUUAAAAACAUUAUGGACUAGGCUGCACACCAUGGUGCACACCGGUAGUUCCAACACCCGAAAGCUAAGACAGGAGGAUUGCUUGAGCCCUGGAGCUCAAGGCCACCCUGGGUAACACUGGGAGACUGUCUUUAAAUAGAGAUGCUGCUGUUUGGAUCUGUCCUGACUGGGAGAAGAUGCUUCACUGUGGAGAGAGGCAGAACCUCCCCCAGGAGACUCACUUUAAUCACAUUUGGACCACAUUCCCUUAGGGAAAUCCCUCUAAAGUUACACAGUUAGUACAAAUGUUACUGUUUAAAGAAAAAGUAACAUUCUUUAUCAAAAGCUUCUCGCUUAUCUGCCCGUCCUGUCAAGUGCAAACAUAAAGAAUGGUUCUUUGACAGCAGCCUCAGUUCAAAGAUAUCGUUAAGGAAAAGCACAGACUAAACAGACUGAACUGCGUUUUGCAUGUUUUAAAUUUUCCAAGUCUCUCUCUCUCUCUCUCUCUCUCUCUCUCUCUCUCUCUCUCUCUCUCUCUCUCUCUUUUUUUUUACUGAAUUCAUAGUUUUUUGGUUAAUGACCAGCAAACAAUUUAUUGGUUAAAUUAUCAAUCGUGGAGUUCCUUGAUAACAUUAUAUAACAAAUGGAUUAAUUCACCAGAAACUGGCUUGAAGAUACUGAUUUUAAUUACUUUAACAAAAUUUGGUUUGUGUAGCAAGCUCCUACUGUCACUGCUAGACAGUGAAUGCAGCGGCUAUCCAAAGCCAGUCAUUCCUUGACCACGGGGGUCUCUCAGAGCACAGGUGAAUACCAGUUACGGUUGUGUUUGCUGACCUAGCACCUUAGUUCCAGCCUUAGGACUCAGAAGCUGCUGGACAGAAGAUACGGGGGGAGGGGAGAUGCUGGAAACGAAGAGCUAACUCGACUUCGGGCCGGUGUUAGAUCUGAGGCAACUCGCAGGCUCUGAGACCAAAGAGGAACACAGCUUUGGAUGUGGCUGUGAAGAAGGCAGGCCCCGGGACGGAAUUGGUGGGUCCAGAAUACAGUGCCAGGUGGGCAUCAGGAACUAGGGGGCUUCUUCUUGGCUUCCAGGUCCUUUUUAAUCUCUUCAAGUUUUUUAGCCAGGUUUGGCAUCUUUAAAAAGAAGAAAGGAAUAUUAUCGUUUAUCUGAACUGAAGCAUGAUGUCGGUGGGGAGGGUGAGGAGGGUGUGAAAGAUGCUUCAGCUCCAGCAC